UACGAGAGGCCCAAACGUUAUUCGGAAUUACUGGGCUUAAAGAGUUCGUAGGCGGCGCGGUAAGUCGGGUGUGAAAUCUUGGAGCUUAACUCCGAAACUGCAUUCGAUACUGCCGUGCUUGAGGACUGGAGAGGAGACUGGAAUUUACGGUGUAGCGGUGAAAUGCGUAGAUAUCGUAAGGAAGACCAGUGGCGAAGGCGGGUCUCUGGACAGUUCCUGACGCUGAGGCACGAAGGCCAGGGGGAGCAAACGGG
rnacentral:rRNA from 1 species